AUUGAACGCUGGCGGCAGGCCUAACACAUGCAAGUCGAGCGGAUGAAGGGAGCUUGCUCCUGGCUUCAGCGGCGGACGGGUGAGUAAUGCCUAGGAAUCUGCCUGGUAGUGGGGGAUAACGUCCGGAAACGGGCGCUAAUACCGCAUACGUCCUGAGGGAGAAAGUGGGGGAUCUUCGGACCUCACGCUAUCAGAUGAGCCUAGGUCGGAUUAGCUAGUUGGUGGGGUAAAGGCCUACCAAGGCGACGAUCCGUAACUGGUCUGAGAGGAUGAUCAGUCACACUGGAACUGAGACACGGUCCAGACUCCUACGGGAGGCAGCAGUGGGGAAUCUUGGACAAUGGGCGAAAGCCUGAUCCAGCCAUGCCGCGUGUGUGAAGAAGGUCUUCGGAUUGUAAAGCACUGUAAGUUGGGAGGAAGGGCAGUAAGUUAAUACCUUGCUGUUUUGACGUUACCAACAGAAUAAGCACCGGCUAACUUCGUG
rnacentral:rRNA from 1 species